GAAUCGCUAGUAAUCGUGGAUCAGAAUGUCACGGUGAAUACGUUCCCGGGCCUUGUACACACCGCCCGUCACACCAUGGGAGUGGACUGCACCAGAAGUGGUUAGCCUAACGCAAGAGGGCGAUCACCACGGUGUGGUUCAUGACUGGGGUGAAGUCGUAACAAGGUAGCCGUAGGGGAACCUGCGGCUGGAUCACCUCCUU
rnacentral:rRNA from 4 species